rnacentral:rRNA from 1 species
ACUCCUACGGGAGGCAGCAGUAGGGAAUCUUCCGCAAUGGACGAAAGUCUGACGGAGCAACGCCGCGUGAACGAUGAAGGUUUUCGGAUCGUAAAGUUCUGUUGUUAGGGAAGAACAAGUACCGUUCGAAUAGGGCGGUACCAUGACGGUACCUAACGAGGAAGCCCCGGCUAACUACGUGCCAGCAGCCGCGGUAAUACGUAGGGGGCAAGCGUUGUCCGGAAUUAUUGGGCGUAAAGCGCGCGCAGGCGGUUUUUUAAGUCUGAUGUGAAAUCUUGUGGCUCAACCACAAGCGGUCAUUGGAAACUGGAGAACUUGAGUACAGAAGAGGAGAGUGGAAUUCCACGUGUAGCGGUGAAAUGCGUAGAUAUGUGGAGGAACACCAGUGGCGAAGGCGACUCUCUGGUCUGUAACUGACGCUGAGGCGCGAAAGCGUGGGGAGCGAACAGGAUUAGAUACCCUGGUAGUCCACGCCGUAAACGAUGAGUGCUAGGUGUUAGGGGGUUUCCGCCCCUUAGUGCUGCAGUUAACGCAUUAAGCACUCCGCCUGGGGAGUACGGCCGCAAGGCUGAAACUCAAAGGAAUUGACGG